rnacentral:rRNA from 1 species
ACGAACGCUGGCGGCGUGCUUCACACAUGCCAGUCGAACGCUGAAGCUCAGCUUGCUGGGUGGAUGAGUGGCGAACGGGUGAGUAACACGUGAGUAACCUGCCCUCUUCUUUGGGAUAACGCCCGGAAACGGGUGCUAAUACUGGAUAUUCACUGAUUCUCGCAUGGGGGUUGGUGGAAAGGUUUUUUCUGGUGGGGGAUGGGCUCGCGGCCUAUCAGCUUGUUGGUGGGGUGAUGGCCUACCAAGGCUUUGACGGGUAGCCGGCCUGAGAGGGUGACCGGUCACAUUGGGACUGAGAUACGGCCCAGACUCCUACGGGAGGCAGCAGUGGGGAAUAUUGCACAAUGGGCGAAAGCCUGAUGCAGCGACGCCGCGUGAGGGAUGGAGGCCUUCGGGUUGUAAACCUCUUUCGCUCAUGGUCAAGCCGCAGCUUUGGGUUGUGGUGAGGGUAGUGGGUAAAGAAGCGCCGGCUAACUACGUG